rnacentral:lncRNA from 1 species
AGACCCCGAUCACCCGCAGCUACGAGAGUUGCCGCCGCCAGUGUGUGCCGGGCGACGUCGCCCACGCCCCUGCCAGCCAUCCUCACAGCAGCAGCAGCCCUGGUAGAAAUUGAUCCUCCAGAAUUCUCUGAAUUGCUUAAGUCUCUGGCCUCAAAUGCCCCAAGAUCCUCCUUGGGAGACCUCUCUGACAGGGAGCUUGGGGGAGAGCAGAGGGGCAUUGACUUAACUCUGCUGGAGGGAUCUUCUGAGGAAGAAACUUCUCCUUCUGCAUCCAGGCUGUGCUGGGCCCUGGACUCAGAGGAGAGGUGGUCCCAUGCCAUUGGAUUGCAUCUAUGACUUCGGGAGGUAGGGCGAAGACUGGUCCCCCAGACACCACAGAGCUUCCCAUCUUCUUUUGCCAGAUCACGGGGUCAUAAGAAUCUUUAAUGCUUAUUACACCCAGUACUCUAUGGAAGGGAUCGUCAACACUAUGGGAGAGGACCUCAACCAAGAGAACAUCAUGAACGUCUGGAAGGAUUACACCAUUGAAGAUGUUGUAGAAAAACAUGUGAAGGCCAUCAAACCUGAAACAAUAAAUUCAUGCUGGAGAAAAAUUGUGUGCAGAUGUUGUGCAUGACUUCACGAGAUUUAUGACAGAGACUGUCAAGGAAAUCAAGAAAGAGAUUGUGGAUAUGCAAAAGAGAUGUGUGUGGGGUGAAGGGUUCAAGAUAUGAAUCUUGGAGAAAUCCAAGGGCUACUAGAUGUCACACUAGAGGAACGAAUAGAUGACUUGGUGGAGAUGAGUGCCUUCGAACCAGUGCAAGACGAUGAAGAUGAUGUAGAAGACGCAGUGCCGGAGAACAACUGACAUUAGACAAUCUGGCGGAAGUGUUCCUAGUAUUCAAGACUGCUUUUACAACGUGGACCCUUCUAUGACAUGGGCACUGAAACUAAAGCGAGUAUGCCUGCCUCCCUUCUACCUCCACCUCUUCCUCCUCUGCCACUCCUCAGACAGUAAAACCAACCUCUCCUCCCUGUCCUCAACAUACCCAACGUGAAGACAAUGAGGAAGACUUUUACGAUGACCCACUUCCACUUAAUGAAUAGCACUUCACCAAAGAAGAUACAUGGAUGACAAUUAAGCACUUGGGAAGAUGCUCAACAUCAUUAGUCAUGAGGAAAAUGCAAAUUAAACCAGAGAUACCACUACACACCCCACCCGUGGAAGUGGUUUAAAUUUAAAAAAUAAAACGAACAAUUCUACAUGUUGGAGAGGAUAUGGAGUAACUGAAACUCUUAUACAUUGAUGGUGGGAAUAUAAACUGGUAACUACUCUGUAAAAACAGUUUUUAUAAACAUCCACCUACCAUAAGACCUAGCAAUACCCACUUCUAGGUGUUUAGAGAAGUGAAAACUCUUGCUCAGACAAAAAUCUGUACAAAAAUGUUUACAGCAGCUCUGUUAGCAAUCACUAAAAACUGGACAUGACAGGUGGAUGGGUAAAUAAAUCAUGGUACAGCCAUACAGGAACAGAGAGGAAUGCAACAUGAGUGAAUCUCAAGGCAUCAUGCUGAGCACAAGAAGCCAGUUCAAAGGGUAUGUGCUGAAUGUUUCAUUUAAAUGUCGGAAAUGGCAAAAGUAUUGUUGGAGGACAGGUCAGUGUUUGUAAAGGAUUACAAGUAGAGGAAGGUGUGACCACAAAGAGCAGCAUGAGGAAAUUUUGGAGUGAUGAAACUAUUGUGUAUCUUGAUUGUGGUAGUGAUUAUGCAAAUCUAUGUACAUGUUUAAAAAGUCAUAGAUGCACUCAGUAUGCAAUGAGGAUAAAAUAAAAAAUAAUAAUUUAAAAUCAUAGAUCUGGCCAGGUGUGGUGGAUCACACCUGUAAAAAAAAUACAAGUAGCAGCAGGACAUGGUGGCUUGCACCUGGAAUCUCAGCUACUUGGGAGGCUGAGACCUGGGCAACAGAGACCCUCUUAUGGUGGCUCACGCCUGUAAUCUCAGCACUUUGGAGGAUGAGGUUGUGGGAUUGCUUAAGACCAGGAUUUCGAGACCAGCCUGGGCAACAUAGGAAACCUGGUCUCUAAAAACAAAACAAGCAGUGGCUCAAGCCCGUAAUCCUAGCACUUUGG